rnacentral:rRNA from 1 species
UAGGGAAUCUUCCACAAUGGACGCAAGUCUGAUGGAGCAACGCCGCGUGAGUGAAGAAGGUUUUCGGAUCGUAAAGCUCUGUUGUUGGUGAAGAAGGAUAGAGGCAGUAACUGGUCUUUAUUUGACGGUAAUCAACCAGAAAGUCACGGCUAACUACGUGCCAGCAGCCGCGGUAAUACGUAGGUGGCAAGCGUUGUCCGGAUUUAUUGGGCGUAAAGCGAGCGCAGGCGGAAUGAUAAGUCUGAUGUGAAAGCCCACGGCUCAACCGUGGAACUGCAUCGGAAACUGUCAUUCUUGAGUGCAGAAGAGGAGAGUGGAAUUCCAUGUGUAGCGGUGGAAUGCGUAGAUAUAUGGAAGAACACCAGUGGCGAAGGCGGCUCUCUGGUCUGCAACUGACGCUGAGGCUCGAAAGCAUGGGCAGCGAACAGG